AGCUCGUUAAGACUAGAUGGGGUAUCCCUACAUGGCGGGUGGGACCCAAGGCGAACGGUUCAUUCAAGACUUAAAAAAAGAAUAUAUACGAUUGCAUUGCAUAUACUAACGGAUGCGAUCAUACCAGCACUAAUGCACCGGAUCCCAUCAGAACUCCGCAGUUAAGCGUGCUUGGGCGAGAGUAGUACUAGGAUGGGUGACCUCCCGGGAAGUCCUCGUGUUGCAUCCCUCUUUUAUGUUUAACCUUUUUUUUUUUGGUUAAAACUUUAUGACUCCAUAACUUCUAAACAGA
rnacentral:rRNA from 1 species